CCGUCAAUUCCUUUGAGUUUUAGCCUUGCGACCGUACUCCCCAGGCGGGGCACUUAAUGCGUUAGCUGCGGCACGGCAGACGUCAAUGAGUCCGCCACACCUAGUGCCCAACGUUUACUGCUAGGACUACCAGGGUAUCUAAUCCUGUUUGCUCCCCUAGCUUUCGCUCCUCAGCGUCGGUACCGGCCCAGAGAGCCGCCUUCGCAACUGGUGUUCCUCCCGAUAUCUGCGCAUUUCACCGCUACACCGGGAAUUCCACUCUCCUCUACCGGACCCUAGCCACAGCAGUUUCGACCGGCGUCCCGGGGUUGAGCCCCGGGUUUUCACGGCCGACUUGCUGAGCCGCCUACGAGCUCUUUACGCCCAAUAAAUCCGGACAACGUUCGCCCCCUACGUAUUA
rnacentral:misc_RNA from 1 species